AGCCGCGGUAAUUCCAGCUCCAAUAGCGUAUAUUAAAGUUGUUGCAGUUAAAAAGCUCGUAGUUGAAUUUCGGAAUCAAUAUGUUGGUCGUGCCUUGGUACGUACUGGCAUUAUUGGUUUCUACCUUCUGAAGAACCUCGAUGUCAUUAAUUUGGUGUCUUGGGGAAUCAGGACUGUUACUUUGAAAAAAUUAGAGUGUUUAAAGCAAGCUCACGCUUGAAUACAUUAGCAUGGAAUAAUGAAAUAGGACGUUUGAUUCUAUUUUGUUGGUUUCUAGGAUCGACGUAAUGAUUAAUAGGGAUAGUUGGGGGCAUUAGUAUUCAAUUGUCAGAGGUGAAAUUCUUGGAUUUAUUGAAGACUAACUACUGCGAAAGCAUUUGCCAAGGAUGUUUUCAUUAAUCAAGAACGAAAGUUAGGGGAUCGAAGACGAUCAGAUACCGUCGUAGUCUUAACCAUAAACUAUGCCGACUAGGGAUCGGAUGAUGUUAAUUUUUUAAUGACUCAUUCGGCGCCUUACG
rnacentral:rRNA from 1 species